rnacentral:rRNA from 1 species
AAUGAACGCUGGCGGCGUGCCUAAUACAUGCAAGUCGAACGCAUUGAGAAAAGUGCCUGCACUUUUCAAUUUCAGUGGCGAACGGGUGAGUAACACGUGGGCAACCUACCUGAUAGCGGGGGAUAACGAGUGGAAACAUUCGCUAAUACCGCAUAACAAUAGAGAAGGCAUCUUCUUUAUUUAAAAGGCGCUUUCAAGCGUCACUAUCAGAUGGGCCCGCGGUGCAUUAGUUAGUUGGUGGGGUGAAGGCCUACCAAGACGAUGAUGCAUAGCCGAGUUGAGAGACUGAUCGGCCACAUUGGGACUGAGACACGGCCCAAACUCCUACGGGAGGCUGCAGUAGGGAAUCUUCCACAAUGGACGAAAGUCUGAUGGAGCAACGCCGCGUGUGUGAUGAAGGCUUUCGGGUCGUAAAGCACUGUUGUAUGGGAAGAAAUGCUAGGCUAGGAAAUGAGCUUAGUUUGACGGUACCAUACCAGAAAGGGACGGCUAAAUACGUGCCAGCCGCCGCGGUAA